AGAGAAAUUACUCCCAACCCCCACAGUUGACACUACACUAAAUUAUACAUCAAGGGUGAGGGUAGAAUAAAGUGAUGUUCACAUAUGCAAGGACUCAAAAUUAUAUAUCACAUAUAUCAUCACAUAGUUAAUGACUGAAGGAUGAAUGCCAGCAAUAGAAUAAUAGAAGACAUGCUUAAUGAAUGAAGGACUUAACAGGAAAAGGGCGAAGACAGUCAUAAGACAAAACAAAAUGUUUCACUGAAGAAAGUAAAAAUAGUGCUCCUUGAUUGAAAUGUUAUACUUCAAUGAAUAUACAAUAAAGAAUUCUGAGGAAGUGGGCAAGAAGGAGGAGAUACUUAACUUUAUUUAUCUAUCCAACCAUGAUUUGUUUUAUUUCCAAUAACUGAGUAUUCACUUCUGCUAGUCACUGCCUGAAGCUCUACGGAAUACAAAGAUGGUGUGCUAUUGGCCUCUGGGAACAGGGAAUUGUGGGUUGAAUGUGCAGCACAAUCACUGAACCACAAAAACACUCUCAAGACUGAGACUUUACUAAUAAGCUUAUGGAGCUGAGAGAAGAGGAAUCCUUUCUACUACAAUGAAGGUCAAAGAUCUUUGUUACAUUAUGUCCAGAGUGUAAUGAUUUCAGAGUAUCCUAGCUAUGCUGACUGACUUCAAAAGUCUUCCUUCCAUGCUGACCCUAACAAUAGCAAAUCCAUUAGAAACAUCCACUCUAAAGUCCUUUAACAUUGAAUUUCCACCUACACUUCUCAACACAUCAUCAAAGCCAUCAAAUGAAGACAUGUUUUUCCUAGCAAAGUUACAAUGGUGAAACUGAAAAUAUCCACUAUAUACUCCAUAUAAAGAUAGGCUGUCAACCAAGUGCCCACUCUAUUGGUUAAAAGCUAAUGUGGAAUUCAGAAUAAGGGCUAAAGAGUGAGGUUUAGGAGAGAAGGCUGUUGUGAUUUCAUCUUGGUUGGCACAAUUUCUGUUAUCACUUAUUGAGGUCUAGUUUGGUCAUUCUAAGUGCCUUAAUUGAUAAACUGGAGGAGAAGGACAGGGAUUUUCACAGGCUGCUGGAUUAGGCAGAUGUGCGAAAAGUGAUUAUUCUUAAAAUUCAUAGGGACUGUAGUAGAAUAUAGUUGAAUGUAGAGAGAAGGCUCAAAAGGGACAGUGCAAGAACAUUCUUGAAAGAGUGAAGUUUAAAAGACAAUGAUCUCAGCAUGAGUAAAUGAUGAGAGUGGAGGAAAAAUGCAGAAAUGCACAUGUUGGCAGAAAAUAAAGGUCCACAUCAAGAGAUAAAUGAAAUUUCAGCUAUUUUUCAUAAGACAGGAAAACUCUAAGAUACUGAAUAACACAUAUUUCCAAGAGAGUAUCUAAGAUUUACUAUUUUAAGCAAAACCCUUAAAAAGUUACUUAGCAUUAGUCAGUUAAUUUGAGAGACAAAAUGGGUAAGUAUUGACAGAAGAGCCAGUAGAAGGUAAUUACUGGUAAAUAACGAAUGGAGAUUUUUAAAAAAAUUGUUGUGCACUUCUCAAUCUGUCUCAAGUGGCAGGAGUCUGUAGCUGUCAAUGAUUUUUCUACCAAAGCAGCAUUUAGGGCACUGAGUUUUCAGGAUUUAAAAGAAAAUGAAUCAAGGAUUUAUUUACUUGAAGUUUCUAUCUAAAUAAUUACAUUUUAGGAUACCUAAAAUUACAUCAGGACAUUUAGCUUAUAAAAAAUGACCCCACAACAACCUGAAUUUAUGCUGAUUAAGGUGUUUUCUAGGAGACAGUUUAUCAAGCUGCAACGUAGCAGAAACUGUCACUUUCCAUCUGACAAUGGAAAUAGGAGAACAUGCCUGGAGUUAUAAUUGGUGAUGGCACAGGAAGCGCUGGGAAGCUCAAAAUGCUUUACAAAUAGUAAUUCAUGUCAUACUGCUUUUACAGUGGAUUUCUAGCACAUCAUAAGGAAGAACACAGGGAGAUGCUGACUAAUAUGUUUCACGUCACAACACAACUAUUAAAGGUCAAACACAAGGACCAGUGCACUUUGUGUAACUGAUUAUGUCCAAAAGAAUUGUACAGAAGGAUACUGAUGUCAUGAAUUAGCAUUUAUGCUAAUAAAAAAUAGAAUAAUAAUAGAAUUUUUUAUAUGAAAUUCUUGGUGUAAAAAUUACCUCCGCCCCAACUUUUUGAGCACAGCUGUUACUAGAAUACUUUUUUUAAUCCUUAAUUAAUUUUCCCCAUAGAUGUCUUACAUUUGUUAAUUAAUUUGCACAAUACACUCCUGAUUUUGGGGGGGAACAAUGUAUAAGGUAAAUGUACUGUGUAAUUAGAGUGGAGACUGCAGAUUAUAGUUUUGCUAUGAUUGAAAUUAUUGUCAAAAAUGUUGGAAAACUUCUGCAAUGCAUUUUGAAAGAUUUAAAUGCUCAGGUUACCAAUUGGGCAAAGAAAAAUUGCACCCAAGCCCUGUAGGACAGUUCUGCCAGUCUAUAAGUCAUUCUUUUAGUAUUUAUUGAAUACUUAUUAUGGACCAGGGAUUAGUUUAACUCUAGAGACACAAUAAGAAAAAUAUAAAAAGUACCCAUCUGGUAGGACCUUAUAUCCUAGUAGGAGUCAGACAGCACAUAAGUAAAUAAAUAUGCAAAAAACAUCACUACAGAAAAUGAUGAGACGGGAAGUAAAUAAAGAGCUUGAUGACGCUGGAAGUAAUUGGGGAGGCCAUCUGCAAUGUUGCAAUAAGCUGGAAAGGUAACAUUUGGCUUGAUACAUGAAGAAUCAGAACAAGGAUGAGAGUAGGCUGAUUAGAAGCCUCUUAUAUAAUAUGAUUUCUCUAGUGUUUGCUUUCAUUUCCUCCUAAAAUACAUUAUUUGUUGAGCAUAUAUUUUGUGUAGUUAGGGAAGGAUUAAGUGCCAGGAAUAUUGUCAACAUGGAGUUGUAAUGAAGCCAGGAGAUGCUUACAGUUUAAAAAGGAAGACAAAAACUUAAAGCAAUGACAAUAAAGAUAGCCAUUAUUUAGAUUAAGACCUUACUAGGUACUAUGACAACUAUGACUAACCUAAGCUAGUGGUCGGGGCACCUAGGUGGCUUAGUCAGUUAAGCGUCUGACUUUGGCUCAGGUCAUGAUCUCAUGUCUCGUGGGUUGGAGCCUUGCAUCGGGCUCUGUGCUGACAGCUCAGAGCCUGGGGCCUGCUUUGGACUCCUUCUCUCUCUGCCCUACCCCUGCCCUCACUCUGUCUAUUUCUCUCUGUGUUUCAAAAAUUAAAAAAAAAAAAAAAAUUAAAAAAAAUUUUUUAACCAGUCUAUUGAUCAAUGAGCACAAAUGAGAAAAAAUGUUAGAAAAAAAGGAAGACUGGUUUGGUAGAUAGAAUUCCAAAAUGGCUCCCCAAGUUUCCUUCCUCCUAGUGCACAUGACCUGCUUAAUCAAUCCACAGGACUGUGUACUUGGCAGAUUUUACUCCUGUGCUUGGGUUAGGUUAUAUGACAAAACUGACUUAAAAUGAAUAAAAAGAUUAUCUGGAUGGGCCUGAUGCAAUGAUAAAAACCUUUAAAGAGCAGAGUGUUGUUUUUGCUUUUUGUUUGUUUAUUUCCAGUUUGUCACAAAAGAAGUCUAGGAUUCUGUGACACACUGUUGUUUGUUUCAAAAUGGAAGGACCACAAUUCAAGGAAUGUGGAUGGGCUCUACGAGCUGAGUGGCUUCCAGCAGACAGUGAGCAAGCAGUGACCCCAGUUCUAUAACCACAAGGAACUGAAUUUUCUCAAUAACAAGAAUGAACUUAGAAGUCUAUAGAAGUUCUGCAGACAAGAACUCAGCCUGACUGACACUUCGAUUUUGGCCUUUUGAUACCCUGAACAGAGAACCCAGUUACUCUCUGUAUGAGGUUGAAAUACAGAACUAUGAACUAAUACAUGGGUGUUGUUUUAAGCUGUUAUAUUUGUAACCAGAAUUUGUUAUCAGAAACAGAAAAUGAAUACAGUGGUGGAUAGUAAUGAUAAACCCUGCUCAAUUAAAAUUGGGUAGGGUCUAUUUUUCAUAAUCUAGGCUUUUUUUUUUUUUUGGCUUGAAAUAGGAGUGAUAAGUAAGAAAACAUAUAUUUACUUAGACUUAAAAUGCUCGCUACUCUCAUAA